rnacentral:sRNA from 1 species
GUUUUUUUCUUCUUCUUAUAUAUGAACUAGUUUAAUUUUUUUUCCUUCCCC